rnacentral:rRNA from 1 species
UUGAAGUCGAGAAUGAAAGGAAAAAUUAAAAUAAACUGUCUUAAAAGUUUUUUUUAAAAAUUGCUAAUAUGGUGAAAAUUCCAUAAAAAUUUUUAAUAGACGAGAAGACCCUAUGAAUUAUUAUUAAAAAUUUUUAUUUAAAAAUUUUAAAUUUUUGUUGGGGCAACAAAGAAUAUAAAAUUCUACUUAAUGAAUUUUACAUUUGAAGAAUUACUAUAAAUGAAUUUAAUU